GAAGAGAGAAGAGAAAAAGAAUUUUCUGAAUAUCCAUUCUCUGGGUUCAGCCGUCACUGUUGGUCACUUAGCUGGGCUUUCCUCAGUUGUGACCCUAGAUCUUGGCAGUGAGGAGAUGGCUUCGCCCUCUAGACAGCCUCCCCUCGGGGGAUCAGGGCUGCUACGUGGGAGCCGUGCUCGUUCUUAUGGAAGCCUGGUACAAUCAUCCUGCUCCCCAGUGAGGGAAAGACGCCUGGAGCAUCAAUUGGAGCCUGGAGACACCCUGGCUGGAUUAGCACUCAAAUAUGGGGUGACGAUGGAGCAGAUUAAACGUACAAACCGCCUUUAUACUAACGACUCCAUCUUCCUGAAGAAAACGCUCUACAUCCCCAUCCUGACAGAGCCCAGAGACCUGUUUAAUGGUUUAGAUUCUGAGGAGGAGGAAAAUGAUGGAGAGGAAGAGGUUCGCCCGAGUAAGGAUGAGAUUGGUUCAUCUUCAGGGAAGAGGAAGAAUCAAGGGUCAGCCUCUAGUCGGCCCAAUGGCACAGGCCUCCCACCUCACCAGGGAACCUCCACACCCAGCCAUGACCUUUCUGCCUCUGAUUUCCUUAAGAAGCUUGACUCACAGAUCAGCCUGUCGAAGAAGGCUGCUGCCCAGAAGCUGAGGAAAGGGGAAAGUGGGGUACCUGAGGAGGAUACAGGUCUCUACCCCAGCUCCCCUCGGAUGCAGCAGCGAGCAGUCCUGGGUCCUGUGCCACUCACCCGGACGUCUCGAACCCAGACACUGCGGGACCAGGAAGAUGAAAUUUUCAAACUCUGAUGUCCCCAGAACUGAUGAGCGCAGCAGAAUGUUUAAGGAACAGCUCAAGGAGGAGGAGUCUGAGGAUGUGGCCAUGACCGCAAUGAGGAGCAACCUCACCCUCUCCCUCAAAUGAAAACAGGAGUCCUCGCAGAGGGAGGAGAGCCAGGGGGCUCUCUCCCGCAACUCAAUCACUCCAAUGGGAGCCUGCCAUCUUGAUUUGUUUCUGCCUUGCCCUGCAGACGGUCCUGCCCUCCUCAGUGGAGGUAAUUGUCCACAGGAGCCCGCUUUCCUUCCCGACUUGCCUUCUUCUUACCCAGCUCUCUGUUGCCCCGAUAUCUCCAACUAGGUUCCCAGUCCUCUCAGGGUAGCUAUGUCACUCGCUCUUUUUGUCCCAGCCUCUACAUGAUCCCCAUGAACCUCUAGCCUAGCUAAGCUUUCACUUUGGGUCACCGUACUCCCAUGGCCGAAGAUACUUUAGAUCUGUAAAUCUCUACUCAUACCCCAUGUGCACCUCCAUGCCUCAGCUCUAGGCUCAACCCCCAUCCCAACCCCGGUCUCCCUCUCAGAUAACCUUGCCCAUCCACUGAAUACACUAAAAUGGUUCUGGGGAGAGAGAGGGAGACACAAGAAUUCUACAAGCGAGAGUUUCACAAAACAGAAAGAAAGGUGAGGGUGAAAAGGUUGGGCUAUCUCAUCAGUGUCUCCCCGAAACCCGCCCCCUGCCAUUGCCAGUCUCACCUGCUGU